AGAGCAGCUCAGAGACCAUACUUGAAUCAUGAUUUGUUUCCUGAGGCCACUUUGAAAAGGAAACACCAUCCAGAGUCUUGCUAUGGGCUGAACUCUUGGAUACUUGUGCUUCAGCCUCCUGAGUGCUAGAAUUACAGAUGUGCAUCACCACACUUGGCUAGGAACAUGUUUUUAUAUAAAAGGCUUGGCAUGCAGUAUUUGAAGCCCAUCCAAAUGUGGAUAAACAUCUAUUGCAAAUGCUGCCUACUAUGACUUCUCUAAGCAAAAAUACAGUGUGAAUGGAAGAAGACCCCCAAGAACACUUGAAGAGCUUAUAUUAGUCACCACAGACAGAAAUAGCUGAUACAUCCAGCCCUUUUUCUGUGCAGUUGCAUGAUCAAAUCAAGUAGUGUUAGAGCCACAAAGACCCUAAGAGACCAUCUGUUCUAACCCUCUCCAUUCUCACAGAUAGAGGAACUGAGAAGGGAGAGAGGAAACAGGUUGUUCACACGCAGAAACAGUGUCAAGAACAGGUGAAAUAGUUAAAAACAAGAACCAUAAACCUAGAAUCUUGUACUUAGUGAAAUUAUCCUUCAAAACUGAAGGACAGACAUCCAGCUUUUAGCCAGGCAUGUAAGAAGUUUGGAAGUUUUCACUCUAUCCCGAUAACAAGCAAAAUUCAACAGUUUUUCCUAGAUUCCUCAGAGAAGUGAGGUCACAGUGAGACAGACAAGAAGCACCUGACUCCUUUCCCGUGUGGCCAGAGUGGGUGUGAUUUGGUAAAUGGCUGUGGCGCCCUUCCCACUCACUCCUCUCUGCUCUCCCUAUCCCUAACCCUGCCCCCCCGCCCCCCGCCAUUGACUGGGACAGUGUGCCUUAGUGCCCUCCCUGGUUAUUUAGGGCCGCUCUCCUCCAGGAUGCUCCAGCAGAAGUGCAGCUUGGCUGUCAGCUGCAGUGCCCCUCCCCUGCUCCCACCACUUCAGACACGGCUGUGCUUCAUUGAAGAAGGGGAGGAACCCUAACAAGGGUAAGAUCAGGAAAGGAGAUAAUCUGGCCCUGUUAUUAACACUCCCAGCCUCCCCAGUCCCCAGUAGGCUGCAAUGAACACAGCUAGCCCUCCCAAAGUCUGGUAUCAGACCCACCAUUUUUGCUAGAGAUGCCACAGCUGUCAAUCAAACAGGAGAUGCCCACCCCCCACUGGAUCAUUGCCAUGAAUGCUGUAACUGUCCUGGAGCCCUGCAUCUACUUGAACCAAUCACAGGCCUCCAUUUGGGCCAAUCAUCAGGGUAGAUUUUUUUUUUUUUUGAGACAGGGUCUCACUAUAUAGUUCAGGCUGGCCUUGAACUCACAUGUAGCCCAGGCUGGCCUUGAACUCAUGGUGAUCCUCCUGCCUCAGCCUCCUGAGUCCUGGGAUUACUCGUCAGGCUAGAAUUUGAACCAAUCACAGGCCGACAUAUAGGCCAAUCAUAGGUCUGUAUCUACUAUAUAAGUAGACUACCCUGACCCACAUUAGUCUCUGAGGGUUCCUUAAGGUGUACUGACUGCCCCCCCCAC